GUAAGGGUGGCUGAGAGUAGGCGGUGGGUUGUAAUUCCAUUUACGGGGUGGUCCCCCCUCCUUACA
rnacentral:tRNA from 1 species